rnacentral:rRNA from 1 species
UACGUAGGGCGCAAGCGUUGUCCGGAAUUAUUGGGCGUAAAGAGCUCGUAGGCGGUCUGUCGCGUCCGUCGUGAAAGCCCGGGGCUUAACUCCGGGCCUGCAGUGGGUACGGGCAGACUAGAGUGUGGUAGGGGAGACUGGAAUUCCUGGUGUAGCGGUGAAAUGCGCAGAUAUCAGGAGGAACACCGGUGGCGAAGGCGGGUCUCUGGGCCAUAACUGACGCUGAGGAGCGAAAGCGUGGGGAGCGAACAGG